rnacentral:rRNA from 1 species
UACAUGGGGUGCAAACGUUGCUCGGAAUUAUUGGGCGUAAAGCGCGCGUAGGCGGUUACUUAAGUCGGAUGUGAAAGCCCUCGGCUUAACUGAGGAAGUGCAUCCGAAACUGAGUAGCUAGAGUACGAAAGAGGGUCGCGGAAUUCCCGGUGUAGAGGUGAAAUGCGCAGAUAUCAGGAAGAACACCCGUGGCGAAGGCGGUUCUCUGGGACGGUACUGACGCUGAGACGCGAAAGCGUGGGGAGCGAACAGG